rnacentral:rRNA from 1 species
GUGGGGAAUAUUGGACAAUGGGCGAAAGCCUGAUCCAGCCAUGCCGCGUGUGUGAAGAAGGUCUUCGGAUUGUAAAGCACUUUAAGUUGGGAGGAAGGGCAGUAAGUUAAUACCUUGCUGUUUUGACGUUACCGACAGAAUAAGCACCGGCUAACUUCGUGCCAGCAGCCGCGGUAAUACGAAGGGUUCAAGCGUUAAUCGGAAUUACUGGGCGUUAAGCGCGCGUAGGUGGUUUUGUAAGUUGGAGGUGAAAGCCCCGGGCUCAACCUGGGAACUGCCUCCAAAACUGCAUGACUAGAGUACGGUAGAGGGUAGUGGAAUUUCCUGUGUAGCGGUGAAAUGCGUAGAUAUAGGAAGGAACACCAGUGGCGAAGGCGACUACCUGGACUGAUACUGACACUGAGGUGCGAAAGCGUGGGGAGCAAACAGGAUUAGAUACCCCUGUAGUCC